CAGUAGGGAAUAUUGGUAAUCUGCGAAAGCGGGAACCAGCAACGCCGCGUGUGCGAAGAAGGCCUUCGGGUUGUAAAGCACUUUUCGGGAGGAAGAGGAAGGACUGUACUCCCGGAAUAAGUCUCGGCUAACUACGUGCCAGCAGCCGCGGUAAUACGUAGGAGGCUAACGUUAUCCGGAUUUACUGGGCGUAAAGCGCGUGCAGGCGGUUCGUUAAGUUGGACGUGAAAACUCCCGGCUCAUCUGGGAGAGGUCGUUCAAUACUGUCGGACUUGAGGAUGGUAGAGAGGGGUGGAAUUCCGGGUGUAGUGGUGAAAUGCGCAGAUAUCCGGAGGAACACCAGUGGCGAAGGCGGCCUCCUGGACCACUCCUGACGCUCAGACGCGAAAGCUAGGGUAGCAAACGGGAUUAGAGACCCCGGUAGUCCUAGCUGUAAACGAUGUGAACUUGGCGUCGGUGGGAUUAAAUCCAUCGGUGUCGAAGCUAACGCGAU
rnacentral:rRNA from 1 species